AGAAGUUUUGACUUGCAAAUGAGAGCC
rnacentral:piRNA from 1 species